rnacentral:lncRNA from 1 species
CUUUGGUGACAGGCUCUUCUGGAUGAGUGCUGUGUGUGAGGCAGAGGCGGUGGGGUGUGCAAGGCAGAAGGUGCCGUGGGUGUCCUGCCAGCCACAAUGUUGGAGUUUGGGAUUGGCAUAUUGCUGGUGAGCGCAGUGCCAGUGGGGCUUUGGUGUGGAGGGCGGUCUUGUGGACGAGGCUGGAGCUGACUGGUGUGGGGGUGACCGCUUGCGCUCUAUUUUGGCAGGUGAUGAAGGCGAAUGUGGUGACCGGAGGAAGAUCAGAGAGGAUGUGGCUGUCAUUGAGGAUGCCUCUUGAAGACAGAUGAUGCUGAGUUCUGGUAGGGGGAAGGGAAGGCUGCUGGUUUUGUGGUGAUGGAAGGCCAAGAUUUGUUCAUGAUGUUGUAAUAAAGAGAUUGUUUUGAAUUUUUUUGAGCA